GAAUAUGAGGAACAAAUAACUCAAACGUGAAUCAAAACCAUGUACCUAUUUUUGCUUAUUGAUAUUCUGAUUCCA
rnacentral:snoRNA from 1 species